rnacentral:rRNA from 1 species
AGUGAACGCUGGCGGUAGGCCUAACACAUGCAAGUCGAACGGAAGCACAGUAAGAGCUUGCUCUUACGGGUGGCGAGUGGCGGACGGGUGAGGAAUACAUCGGCAUCUACUUUUUCGUGGGGGAUAACGUAGGGAAACUUACGCUACUACCGCAUACGACCUACGGGUGAAAGCAGGGGAUCUUCGGACCUUGCGCGAUUGAUUGAGCCGAUGUCGGAUUAGCUAGUUGGCGGGGUAAAGGCACACCAAGGCGACGAUCCGUAGCUGGUCUGAGAGGAUGAUCAGCCACACUGGAACUGAGACACGGUCCAGACUCCUACGGGAGGCAGCAGUGGGGAAUAUUGGACAAUGGGCGCAAGCCUGAUCCAGCCAUACCGCGUGAGUGAAGAAGGCCUUCGGGUUGUAAAGCCCUUUUGUUGGGAAAGAAAAGCAGCAGGUUAAUACCCCGCUGUUCUGACGGUACCCAAAGAAUAAGCACCGGCUAACUUCGUG